CGCCCCCUAUACGUCAUCAUUGAGUAAACUUUGACCCGGAACCUCACAGUCAGCAGACACUUCCUGGGAGGGAGGGUCUGCUGCUGAUUGGGUGGAAUGUGUCUGCUUGCUGUGAGGUUCCGGGUCAAAGUUUACUCAAUGAUGACGUAUAGGGGGCG